rnacentral:rRNA from 1 species
UACAGAGGGUGCGAACGUUGCUCGGAAUUACUGGGCGUAAAGCGCAUGUAGGCGGAUCCAUAAGUCGGGCGUGAAAUCCCCAGGCUCAACCUGGGAACUGCGCUCGAAACUGUGGGUCUCGAGUGUCGGAGAGGAUGGCGGAAUUCCUGGUGUAGAGGUGAAAUUCGUAGAUAUCGGGAGGAACACCGGUGGCGAAGGCGGCGACCUGGGUCGAGACUGACGCUGAGGCGCGAAAGCGUGGGGAGCAAACAGG